AGUGAACGCUGGCGGUAGGCCUAACACAUGCAAGUCGAACGGCAGCACAGGAGAGCUUGCUCUCUGGGUGGCGAGUGGCGGACGGGUGAGGAAUACAUCGGAAUCUACCUUUUCGUGGGGGAUAACGUAGGGAAACUUACGCUAAUACCGCAUACGACCUACGGGUGAAAGUGGGGGACCGCAAGGCCUCACGCGAUUAGAUGAGCCGAUGUCCGAUUAGCUAGUUGGCGGGGUAAUGGCCCACCAAGGCGACGAUCGGUAGCUGGUCUGAGAGGAUGAUCAGCCACACUGGAACUGAGACACGGUCCAGACUCCUACGGGAGGCAGCAGUGGGGAAUAUUGGACAAUGGGCGCAAGCCUGAUCCAGCCAUACCGCGUGGGUGAAGAAGGCCUUCGGGUUGUAAAGCCCUUUUGUUGGGAAAGAAAUCCUGUCGAUUAAGACUCGGUGGGGAUGACGGUACCCAAAGAAUAAGCACCGGCUAACUUCGU
rnacentral:rRNA from 1 species